rnacentral:rRNA from 1 species
UUGCUACUUUUGCCGGCGAGCGGCGGACGGGUGAUAUGCCUGGGAAAUUGCCCAGUCGAGGGGGAUAACAGUUGGAAACGACUGCUAAUACCGAUACGCCCUACGGGGGAAAGCAGGGGACCUUCGGGCCUUGCGCGAUCGGAUAUGCCCAGGUGGGAUUAGCUAGUUGGUGAGGUAAUGGCUCACCAAGGCGACGAUCCCUACUGGUCUGAGAGGAUGAUCAGCACACUGGAACUGAGACACGGUCCAGACUCCUACGGGAGGCAGCAGUGGGGAAUAUUGCACAAUGGGGGAAACCCUGAUGCAGCCAUGCCGCGUGUGUGAAGAAGGCCUUCGGGUUGUAAAGCGCUUUCAGCGAGGAGGAAAGGUCAGUAGCUAAUAUCUGCUGGCUGUGACGUUUACUCGCAGAAGAAGCACCGGUAACUCCGUGCCAGCAGCCGGGUAAUACGGAGGGUGCAAGCGUUAAUCGGAAUUACUGGGGCGUAAAAGCGCACGCAGGCGGUUGGAUAAGUUAGAUGUGAAGCCCGGGGCUCAACCUGGGAUUGCUUUUAAAACUGUCCAGCUAGAGUCUUGUAAGGGGGUAAAAAUCCCAGGUGUUAC